CCCGCUGAACUUAAGCAUAUCAAUAAGCGGAGGAAAAGAAACCAACAGGGAUUACCCUAGUAACGGCGAGUGAAGCGGUAGCAGCUCAAAUUUGAAAUCUGGCUCUCGGGCCCGAGUUGUAAUUUGUAGAGGAUGCUUCGGGCAAGGCCUCGGUCUAAUUUCCUUGGAACAGGGAGUCAUAGAGGGUGAGAAUCCCGUCUGGGACCGCCGGCCGCGUCCAUGUGAAGCUCCUUCGACGAGUCGAGUUGUUUGGGAAUGCAGCUCAAAAUGGGUGGUAAAUUUCAUCUAAAGCUAAAUAUUGGCCAGAGACCGAUAGCGCACAAGUAGAGUGAUCGAAAGAUGAAAAGCACUUUGAAAAGAGAGUUAAACAGUAUGUGAAAUUGUUGAGAGGGAAGCGCUUGUGACCAGACUUGCGUGCGGUGGCUCAGCCGGUGUUCUCACCGGUGUACUCCUCCGUAUCCAGGCCAGCAUCGGUUCGGGCGGCCGGUCAAAGGCCCCGGGAAUGUACCACCCUCCGGGGUGACUUAUAGCCCGGGGUGCAAUGCGACCUGCCCGGACCGAGGGACGCGUUCUACUAGGAUGCUGGCGUAAUGGUUAUAAGCGACCCGUCUUGAAACACGG
rnacentral:rRNA from 1 species